rnacentral:rRNA from 1 species
CGGCGGACGGGUGAGUAACACGUGGAUAACCUACCUAUAAGACUGGGAUAACUUCGGGAAACCGGAGCUAAUACCGGAUAAUAUAUUGAACCGCAUGGUUCAAUAGUGAAAGACGGUUUUGCUGUUACUUAUAGAUGGAUCCGCGCCGCAUUAGCUAGUUGGUAAGGUAACGGCUUACCAAGGCAACGAUGCGUAGCCGACCUGAGAGGGUGAUUGGCCACACUGGAACUGAGACACGGUCCAGACUCCUACGGGAGGCAGCAGAU